CACCCAUCCGAAAAUGCAAGAAAAGAAAGAAAAGUUUGAAAUGGUGUUAGUGGUGGGCCUAUUAGUUGAUAUUUUGGUUAAAUACUACUUUGUGCACAUGGGUAUUGUGUAUACAAUUAAUGUAAAGAAAAAUUAAAGAAAGAAAGUGGCAGCAAGUGUCUGCAGAAAGUAAGAUAAAGCAAGAAAUGUGAUGAUGGUGUCGCACGGGGUGCACUUAGUGAUAAGUUUGCAAUUGUUUUGAUUUUUGUUGUAUGGUGACCUGUUGUGCUAUGUCAUUUGCCUAUAUAUAUUGGUCUGUUUUGGUGAGUAAACAGAAGAGAAAAAUUAAAGGGCAAAGGGCCAAGAUUUUAUUUGAGCAGAGAGCCGAGAUGGACUUGAGGCAUGAUGAUCCAGUAUUGAUUUAUUCUUUUAAAGAUUUCAGGUACCGAGGAUGAGCUUGGAUUGAUAGUAGCAGGCUAGGAGGAAGAGUAGGACUAGAGGAAUUAAAUUAUUUAUUUUAGAGAAGUUGUGUAUUUAAUUGAGGAAAUUGAUUUGUAUCAAUAAAAUGGUAUUUUCUUUUGA